GAUGAACGCUAGCUACAGGCUUAACACAUGCAAGUCGAGGGGCAGCACAAGGCAGCAAUGCUGAGGUGGCGACCGGCGCACGGGUGCGUAACGCGUAUCCAACCUUCCCGUUACUCUUGGAUAGCCUUCCGAAAGGGAGAUUAAUACAAGAUGGUGUUGAAAUUCCGCAUGUUAUUUCAACUAAAGAUUUAUCGGUAACGGAUGGGGAUGCGUGACAUUAGAUAGUAGGCGGGGUAACGGCCCACCUAGUCUACGAUGUCUAGGGGUUCUGAGAGGAAGGUCCCCCACACUGGAACUGAGACACGGUCCAGACUCCUACGGGAGGCAGCAGUGAGGAAUAUUGGUCAAUGGCCGGAAGGCUGAACCAGCCAAGUAGCGUGAAGGAUGAAGGUUCUAUGGAUUGUAAACUUCUUUUAUACGGGAAUAAAACCUCCCACGUGUGGGAGCUUGUAUGUACCGUAUGAAUAAGCAUCGGCUAACUCCGUGCCAGCCGCCGCGGUAAAAC
rnacentral:rRNA from 1 species